AGUAAUAAAAGAGUAACAGGUAACAGAACAGUUAAAUAAUUGUGAUUAAUUCACAAACAUCCUGAGGCCCCAACCAGAUUUUUUUUAAAAUAAUUUGACAGCCCUAACAAUUACGUUUGCUGUUUUAUUUGUAUUAAUAUUUGUGUGGUCGUUUUUACUCUGAACAUUUUGUUCCGAUACACUGAGCAGCCUUCCUCGGUUCUGCUCAGCCAUUCAGAUCCACUAGAGGGCAGCGUUACCAGGUUCUGAGCUCUGCUGUGGUUCUGUGUUCAAGCACUCGUCACUCCACAGACCAAGUCCCAUCAGGUGUUCUUGUCUCCCCGGCAGAACAAAUGAGAAACAUUUAUCCUGUUGUUGAACAGCUGCAGCGUUCCCUCCAGAUCCUGUUCUGAAUCAUUCCGACUGGUUCUAGCAGUUUGGAGUUUGGACUGGUUUUAAUGGGACGGCCCGUCACCAGGCUCAAUGAGGGGAGGAGCUCAACUCUGAGAGACUUUGUGUUGGAGCUGAAGAGCUGCUGCAUUCUCUCUGUUCUUCUGUCAGUACCAGGGAAAACGAUGCUGCUGCUGCUUUUCUCCUGCAUGAUGAUGAUCUUCUGCCUUCAGCCAGGAUCCUCUGAGGAUUUACUGACACCAUUUAAAGAUGAUCAACUGGAUUUGGAAGGAAACAACGUGACUCUGUCCUGCAACUAUUCAGGAACAGUAAACCUGCUGCUGUGGUACCGACAGACGUCCAGUUCAUCUCCACAGCUGGUCACCUCAGGAUAUUCAGACACAACAGGAAGGCUUUCUUUGAGACACGAGAAAACAAAAACGACGUUUCAUCUGCUGAUCUCCUCUGCUGCAGUGACAGACUCUGCUGUGUACUACUGCGCUCUGCAGCCCACAGUGACAGGAAACACCAGAACCCUGUACAAGAACCUGCAGUACUCCACAGCAGCCACUAGAGGGCCUCACUCACUGCUCUGCUUCUAUGGUUUGUUAGGUUUCAGUCUGAUUGUUUAUGAGACAAUAAAAAACUGAACAGAGAGAGAAAACAAUCCCUCUGAUAAGUCGGUCUAGUUGGAGGACAUUUGCAUAACUAUUUCUAUGAAAUAUUUUCAUUAUUGAUCACUGGAUCAGCUCCAUAUUUUAUAAUCAGCAGUGUUUUAUUAAUUGCAAGAUGCUAUAAAGUUGCUG